rnacentral:rRNA from 1 species
AGACCCGAAACCCGGUGAUCUAGCCAUGGGCAGGUUGAAGGUUGGGUAACACUAACUGGAGGACCGAACCGACUAAUGUUGAAAAAUUAGCGGAUGACCUGUGGCUGGGGGUGAAAGGCCAAUCAAACCGGGAGAUAGCUGGUUCUCCCCGAAAGCUAUUUAGGUAGCGCCUCGUGAAUUCAUCUCCGGGGGUAGAGCACUGUUUCGGCUAGGGGGCCAUCCCGGCUUACCAACCCGAUGCAAACUGCGAAUACCGGAGAAUGUUAUCACGGGAGACACACGGCGGGUGCUAACGUCCGUCGUGAAGAGGGAAACAACCCAGACCGCCAGCUAAGGUCCCAAAGUCAUGGUUAAGUGGGAAACGAUGUGGGAAGGCCCAGACAGCCAGGAUGUUGGCUUAGAAGCAGCCAUCAUUUAAAGAAAGCGUAAUAGCUCACUGGUCGAGUCGGCCUGCGCGGAAGAUGUAACGGGGCUAAACCAUGCACCGAAGCUGCGGCAGCGAACGUAUCACCCAAGACAACUUUACGGAGUUGACGAUUGACGGAGCGAAGCGACGUCAAAGCGUUCAUUAAAGUCGAGUUGGCUUAGGGAUACGUUCGUUGGGUAGGGGAGCGUUCUGUAAGCCUGUGAAGGUGGCCUGUGAGGGUUGCUGGAGGUAUCAGAAGUGCGAAUGCUGACAUAAGUAACGAUAAAGCGGGUGAAAAGCCCGCUCGCCGGAAGACCAAGGGUUCCUGUCCAACGUUAAUCGGGGCAGGGUGAGUCGACCCCUAAGGCGAGGCCGAAAGGCGUAGUCGAUGGGAAACGGGUUAAUAUUCCCGUACUUGGUGUUACUGCGAAGGGGGGACGGAGAAGGCUAUGUUGGCCGGGCGACGGUUGUCCCGGUUUAAGCGUGUAGGUGUGUGUUCCAGGUAAAUCCGGUUCACUUUAACACUGAGGCGUGACGACGAGGCACUACGGUGCUGAAGCAACAAAUGCCCUGCUUCCAGGAAAAGCCUCUAAGCAUCAGGUAACAUCAAAUCGUACCCCAAACCGACACAGGUGGUCAGGUAGAGAAUACCAAGGCGCUUGAGAGAACUCGGGUGAAGGAACUAGGCAAAAUGGUGCCGUAACUUCGGGAGAAGGCACGCUGACACGUAGGUGAAGUGAUUUACUCAUGGAGCUGAAGUCAGUCGAAGAUACCAGCUGGCUGCAACUGUUUAUUAAAAACACAGCACUGUGCAAACACGAAAGUGGACGUAUACGGUGUGACGCCUGCCCGGUGCCGGAAGGUUAAUUGAUGGGGUCAGCGCAAGCGAAGCUCCUGAUCGAAGCCCCGGUAAACGGCGGCCGUAACUAUAACGGUCCUAAGGUAGCGAAAUUCCUUGUCGGGUAAGUUCCGACCUGCACGAAUGGCGUAAUGAUGGCCAGGCUGUCUCCACCCGAGACUCAGUGAAAUUGAACUCGCUGUGAAGAUGCAGUGUACCCGCGGCAAGACGGAAAGACCCCGUGAACCUUUACUAUAGCUUGACACUGAACAUUGAGCCUUGAUGUGUAGGAUAGGUGGGAGGCUUUGAAGUGUGGACGCCAGUCUGCAUGGAGCCGACCUUGAAAUACCACCCUUUAAUGUUUGAUGUUCUAACGUGGACCCGUAA